rnacentral:lncRNA from 1 species
GGAAAUGGAAAAUUGUCCCUGAUCUAAGAGGUUCUGCAGAGAAAAUCAUGAUUGCAUUAUGAUAUCAUAUCACUACUACAAUAUUUAUCAUCACUACUACAUUAUGAUAUCAUAUCACUACUACAUUAUCAAUACUAUAGCUACUAAAUUGUUAAACCUCAGCCAAUAACAUGAAGCAAAAGGUGGCAAUGCGAAAUUGAUAUCCAGGGUACAAUCUUUUUUAUUUUUUUGGGAGAAUUAAUAAAUUAGCUGGCAUUCUUU